AUUGAACGCUGGCGGCAUGCCUUACACGUGCAAGUCGAACGGCAGCACGGGAGCAAUCCUGGUGGCGAGUGGCGAACGGGUGAGUAAUACAUCGGAACGUGCCCAGUCGUGGGGGAUAACGUAGCGAAAGUUACGCUAAUACCGCAUACGAUCUAUGGCUGAAAGCGGGGGAUCGCAAGACCGCGCGCGAUUGGAGCGGCCGAUGGCAGAUUAGGUUGUUGGUGGGGUAAUGGCUUACCAAGCCUCCGAUCUGUAGCUGGUCUGAGAGGACGAUCAGCCACACUGGGACUGAGACACGGCCCAGACUCCUACGGGAGGCAGCAGUGGGGAAUUUUGGACAAUGGGCGAAAGCCUGAUCCAGCAAUGCCGCGUGCAGGACGAAGGCCUUCGGGUUGUAAACUGCUUUUGUACGGAGCGAAACGGCUCUCACUAAUACUGGGGGCUAAUGACGGUACCGUAAGAAUAAGCACCGGUUAACUACGUGCCAGCAGCCGCAGUAA
rnacentral:rRNA from 1 species